GACGAACGCUGGCGGCGUGCCUAAUACAUGCAAGUAGAACGCACAGUUUAUACCGUAGCUUGCUACACCAUAAACUGUGAGUUGCGAACGGGUGAGUAACGCGUAGGUAACCUGCCUGGUAGCGGGGGAUAACUAUUGGAAACGAUAGCUAAUACCGCAUAAUAUUGAUUAUUGCAUGAUAAUUGAUUUAAAGAUGCUAUUGCAUCACUACCAGAUGGACCUGCGUUGUAUUAGCUAGUAGGUGAGGUAACGGCUCACCUAGGCGACGAUACAUAGCCGACCUGAGAGGGUGAUCGGCCCAACUGGGACUGGGACACGGCCCAGACUCCUACGGGAGGCAGCAGUAGGGAAUCUUCGGCAAUGGACGAAAGUCUGACCGAGCAGCGCCGCGUGAGUGAAGGAGGUUUUCGGAUCGUAAAGCUAUGUUGUAAGGGAAGAAAGGGUGUGAGAGUGGAAAGUUCACACUGUGACGGUAUCUUAACAGAAAGGGACGGCUAACUACGUG
rnacentral:rRNA from 1 species